UAUGAAGAAACCAAUGAUCCACUUCCCAUCUGGGUUGCCCCAUGAAGACCACAGAGAGAAGAACAAGGAGGUUGUAGAGCCCCACUCUUAUGUUGUUGUGUGUGAUUUAUUAGUCAGACAAUCAUUGUUUUCUGCAGUCAAACUGGUCUGUAUAGGAUUUGAUUGAAUUUUAAUGAUCAUCUGUGGGGGGAAGCAUUACACCCACCAGUGUACAGCCUGCUGGAAAACAUUGAAGAAGAAGAAGAAGAGGGCCCCACCCUAAACGAACAGGUGACAGUGAUGCUUCACAGCAGGAUCAAGCUUUCUGACGACUGCAUUCCAAACACUUCCAGUCACCUCUUAUUUUUAGAAUAGCAUGGAGUUAUUUCCCUCUGCCUCUUUGCUGCUGCUGGCCCUGACUUAAUUGCCGUAAUAGGCUGCACGUUAUGAAGGCCAGUGAAGGCUGCCUGGUGUGGCCUUCAUGGACUGCUUCUUUCUGCAUCUGUGGAGAUGUCCUCAAACGGAGAAGCACCAGGUCAAGGCUAAACUAGAGAGAAGUCAAGAUGGGUCACGCCCAUUUCUUUUCUUUUUCCAUCCCCAAUGUCGGCUUCAACACUCUUCUUACCUUGAAACCCUUAUUCACGUACUCCCCACACCAUGUGAGGGAAGUCAUAGAAGCAUCCCCCCCUUUUCCUGGAAGAGGGUGUGAAGAUAUCCCAACGUUCAUAACCGUGGAGAGAUGCAGGGGUCUGGAGGAGAGGAAAAAAGGUACCAGCGUGAGGCAGACAGAUUCUAGCUCUCUGGUGUGCUUGCUGUUAUUGGUUCAGGAGUGAAAGGACCUGCAGAGUUAGUAUAUAUAACCUUCAAAGGCCAGGAACACGAAGCACUCAGAGACACUUAAUUCCCAAUCAGCAAAAGGUCAACACUAACACACAACGGGAGCUGCUGUAUUCCACAGAGCUAACUAACCACUGUCUGAGUGGCCACACUUUCUGUCCUUAAAACACAACAAAUCAUCAGUUGUGCUUUGUUUCCAUUUAGAAGUGCUGCAGUUGCACUCCAGGCAAUGUAAGAGAUGCUCAAGUGCAAGCUGAACACAGUUCCCUCAUAAACAGUAGAAUGUACCCAACAGACACUGGUCCGAACAGUGAUUUAUUUACUGAUCAAACAUGUUCAACUGGAAGGAUGGAAGAAAUUGUAUUUUUCCUCAGGAGUACCAAAUAUCAAAAUAACUUUUUGGAUACA